rnacentral:rRNA from 1 species
CAGUCGCCGCGGUAAUACAGAGGGUGCGAGCGUUAAUCGGAUUUACUGGGCGUAAAGCGUGCGCAGGCGGUUAUAUAAGACAGAUGUGAAAUCCCCGGGCUCAACCUGGGGCCUGCAUUUGUGACUGUAUAGCUAGAGUACGGUAGAGGGGGAUGGAAUUCCGCGUGUAGCAGUGAAAUGCGUAGAUAUGUGGAGGAAUACCGAUGGCGAAGGCAGCCCCCUGGGAUAACACUGACGCUCAUGCACGAAAGCGUGGGGAGCAAACAGGAUUAGAUACCCCGGUAGUCCCUGUCUCUUAUAC